UUCUCCUCAACCCGGAAUCUGCCGGUGCAUCGGUGAACUGCCUCGUCUGCAAUUUCUCCACCUCACCCUCUGUGGUAAAUGAAAACUUUAGGACCUGUGUUGGUCAGAGGGAAUGUAGUCCACUCGAAUCAGUGAAUGAAGUUGUAUCACUAGAUGAAACACUAAUACGUCGAAGUCAAGCCAAAAACAUGGAGGGGUCCUGCACUGCUCAUCGAUCAUUGGACAUAUUGAAAGGGAUAAACCUCGAGAAGCCGACCUGUCAUGAAAGCCAUCUGUCGCCCAGUUGCGAUCUUCAGAAUACAUGGAAGGAUCAGAA